rnacentral:rRNA from 1 species
CAAGUCGAACGAUUAAAGCUCUCUUCGGAGAGUGCAUAGAGUGGCGCACGGGUGAGUAACACGUAAGUAAUCUACCUUCGAGUGGGGAAUAACGUCCGGAAACGGACGCUAAUACCGCAUAAUGCAGCGGCAUCGUAAGAUGACAGUUGUUAAAGAUUUAUCGCUUGAAGAGGAGCUUGCGGCAGAUUAGCUAGUUGGUAAGGUAAUGGCUUACCAAGGCUACGAUCUGUAACCGGUCUAAGAGGACGGUCGGUCACACUGACACUGAAUAACGGGUCAGACUCCUACGGGAGGCAGCAGUCGGGAAUUUUGGGCAAUGGGCGAAAGCCUGACCCAGCAACGCCGCGUGAAGGAUGAAGUAUUUCGGUAUGUAAACUUCGAAAGAAUAGGAAGAAUAAAUGACGGUACUAUUUAUAAGGUCCGGCUAACUACGUGCCAGCAGCCGCGGUAAUACGUAGGGACCAAGCGUUGUUCGGAUUUACUGGGCGUAAAGGGCGCGUAGGCGGCAAUUCAAGUCAUCUGUGAAAUCUCCGGGCUUAACUCGGAACGGUCAGAUGAUACUGCUUUGCUAGAGUGCGGAAGGGGCAAUCGGAAUUCUUGGUGUAGCGGUGAAAUGCGUAGAUAUCAAGAGGAACACCUGAGGUGAAGACGGGUUGCUGGGCCGACACUGACGCUGAAGCGCGAAAGCCAGGGGAGCAAACGGGAUUAGAUACCCCGGUAGUCCUGGCCCUAAACGAUGAAUACUUGGUGUCUGGAGUCUUUAAUGCUCCGGGUGCCGUCGCUAACGUUUUUAGUAUUCCGCCUGGGGAGUACGCUCGCAAGAGUGAAACUCAAAGGAAUUGACGGGGACCC